rnacentral:tRNA from 1 species
GGAGACGUAUCGAAGUGGUCAUAACGAGCCGCACUCGAAAUGCGGUUGUCCUCACGGGCACGUGGGUUCGAAUCCCACCGUCUCCG